GUCAAAAAGAAAACAGAGAAAGAAAGUGCCACUGAUGUCAAAAGAAAAGAGUCGGGGAAAGCCCCUGAAACCAAACAAGGCACUAUAAAAGUUUCAGCACAAGCAGCAGCUAAAAAAGAUGAAAAGAAAGAAG